GGCGGAGUGAUGAGCAAAGGGGUAAAGACCGGCCUGGAGAAACCUACAGAAACAGGGGCACAAUCUUCAAUGUCACCAGCUGCCACCUCUCCUUUCCCACUGGCAAAUAUUCAGAGACACACAUGGGGCUGCCGCCUUCUACAUUAGCAAAGCCUGCUUCUGGACUACAGCCUACUGGAUCUGCAUGAGGCUAUUUGAAAGUUAACAUGUUUUAAUGAAUUUGGCAGUACACUGUAAAUUGUGCUAGAAUAUAGACAAAAAUAAAAAUUGGCAACAUA